rnacentral:rRNA from 1 species
CCUACGGGGUGCAGCAGUCGAGAAUCAUUCACAAUGGGGGAAACCCUGAUGGUGCGACGCCGCGUGGGGGAAUGAAGGUCUUCGGAUUGUAAACCCCUGUCAUGUGGGAGCAAAUUAAAAAGAUAGUACCACAAGAGGAAGAGACGGCUAACUCUGUGCCAGCAGCCGCGGUAAUACAGAGGUCUCAAGCGUUGUUCGGAAUCACUGGGCGUAAAGCGUGCGUAGGCUGUUUCGUAAGUCGUGUGUGAAAGGCGCGGGCUCAACCCGCGGACGGCACAUGAUCCUGCGAGACUAGAGUAAGGGAGGGGGAACCGGAAUGCUCGGUGUAGCAGUGAAAUGCGUAGAUAGCGAGAGGAACACUCGUGGCGAAGGCGGGUUCCUGGACAUUAACUGACGCUGAGGCACGAAGGCCAGGGGAGCGAAAGGGAUUAGAUACCCGAGUAGUC